AUCGCUUCUCGGCCUUUUGGCUAAGAUCAAGUGUAAAAGACUGCCUUAAAACCUUAAAUGACUUUCAAAAAUUAUUAGGGGACAUUAAUUGGUUAAGACUUUAUCUAAAAAUCUCUACAGGAGAAAUGACUAAUUUAUUUAAUAUACUUAGAGGUGACUCUAAUCUUUCCUCACCCCAAGUAUUGACA